UGGGGAAUUGUUCGCAAUGGGCGCAAGCCUGACGACGCAACGCCGCGUGGAGGAUGAAGACCUUCGGGUCGUAAACUCCUUUCGAUCGAGACGAAUAACCCUUGGGCUAAUCACCAGGGGAAUGACGGUACCGAGAGAAGAAGCCCCGGCUAACUCCGUGCCAGCAGCCGCGGUAAUACGGAGGGGGCAAGCGUUGUUCGGAAUUACUGGGCGUAAAGGGCUCGUAGGCGGCCAACUAAGUCAGACGUGAAAUCCCUCGGCUUAACCGGGGAACUGCGUCUGAUACUGGAUGGCUUGAAUCCGGGAGAGGGAUGCGGAAUUCCAGGUGUAGCGGUGAAAUGCGUAGAUAUCUGGAGGAACACCGGUGGCGAAGGCGGCAUCCUGGACCGGCAUUGACGCUGAGGAGCGAAAGCCAGGGGAGCAAACGGGAUUAGAUACCCCAGUAGUCCCUGAGCGGGCUGGCAAGGCGCAU
rnacentral:rRNA from 1 species